UACAGAGGAUGCAAGCGUUAUCCGGAAUGAUUGGGCGUAAAGCGUCUGUAGGUGGCUUUUUAAGUCCGCCGUCGAAUCCCAGGGCUCAACUCUGGACAGGCGGUGGAAACUACCAAGCUGGAGUACGGUAGGGGCAGAGGGAAUUUCCGGUGGAGCGGUGAAAUGCGUAGAGAUCGGAAGGAACACCAGUGGCGAAAGCGGCUUCCUGGUCCGACACCGACGUUCAGGCACGAAAGCGUGGGGAGCAAACAGG
rnacentral:rRNA from 1 species